ACACCUGCGAUCAACAGGUCCUGGGAGCCCCGCCCCUCUCCCCGCCUCGUCCCCGCCCCGCCUCCUCCGAGCUGGCUCCACCUUCAUGGUCCCCGAGUUGGCCCCGCCUCCCGGCUUUCCCAACCCGCUGAACUGUAUUCCCGCGGGGGUUCGAUGAGGCGCGCGAUCCAGUUGAGUUACUCUGAGGCGCGAGAUCCCGCGAGAGCAGGAGCUUGACCAUUUUUCCUAAGGCGGGAGCGGAGCACUGGGGCUUAGCUGGCGGAGAAAGGUGGCUGCAGUUCCCAAGAGAGCAGAGUGAAGACACCUGGAAAGAAGUUGUCAUCACUAAGAAUGUCUUCUGGAAGACUGCUUGUUUGCGAUCUCCAGCAACAUAGUUGACAGAGGGCCCCGGUUCUGCUCACAUGGACCUCCUUCCCUGCCUUCUUGUUGAGUCUGCCUUUCACAGUCUGCUCCCAGCUUGUGACUGACCAUGACAGUGACCCUAAGGCAGACCUGUUUCUGGGAAACACAGGACCUCUCCUGCAGGUUACUUUAUGGAAGGUGAAAUAUGAAAAUGCUACACUUAUGCCUGUUCCUAGCUGCCUUCACGAGAUCUCAUGCCUCUGGGUCUCAAUAUUGUUCAGAAUAUUAGAAAAAUGCAUACUCGAGAUUUAAUAAAAUGCAAACUUUUACUGCUUCAUCAAGGACAUCCUUACUUGAAACCAGCAUCUUGUUUGUUAAGUCAAAUGGUGACAGUGAGGAAUACGACUCCUAGUACAGAUCUCCUGAAAGCAUAUCAGAGACCUCUGGAGGUCUGCAGACCACACUUUGAGAACUACUCAUCUAAAGGGUUUGAGAUUACUACAAAAGUAUCAUGUGAUCAAUGAGAAAUUUCCAGUGUAUUUGUGGAAAAGAAUAAGUCCUCUUGAAUGUUGGACAUCAGAGAUAACCUGAGUUUUCCCCAGCAAAGGGGAUGGCCACACCGUGACUCAAUAAGCAACUCUGCAGCUGCUCCUGCCAAUCACUCCAUUUCGCCAUCAUUCUCCCGGCCCCGUGAGAGGUUCCAUCCAGAGGCCCGCCUAGGAAACCUCUCCUCCACAAGACAUUCAAGUGGGCCACAUACCUGGCUUGCCCAAAGGGCACAGCAGAUGAGUAACAAGUGCGUUUAUAGAAUUUGUGGUGCUCCAGCUGUCACUGAUGUAAGUGUUUUCUGCUAAAAUUGGUAUAUUUUUGGCUAACUGCUUCAUCCCCUGAGCAGUUCAAACAUCACCAGCAGGGCCCAAUGGUCUGAGGAGGCCACACUUAGUUUCUUCAUAGGUAUGAAACAAUUUGUCAGAAGGUUGCCUAAUAUGGUGGCAGUGACUGACUCAGAGGCCUCCUAGAAGAACUAAAUGUUCAGCAGGAAUAAAAGUGAACAUUAAUUAGCUCAGGGACAGUGCAUGGGACUGGAGAUCAGCCAGUCAGGCUUUAGCACAUGUCUCUCUCAACUUGCUGGGUAAGACUAGGUGAAGCAUGAAAUCACUCCAUGCUUCCAUCACUGUUAGUUCAGGGAUUAAACUUGCUAAUUAGAGUACAUUUUCCGCCCAUUGAAUACAAGCAAACAUUCAUUUGAGAAUCCUUUAUAAUUUAGAAAAUUCAGAAUAGUAUUUCAAAUGCAAAAAACAUAUUUUAUAUAUUACAUAUAUAAAAUAUAAUAUAUAUAUGAAAUAUUAUAUAUAUUAAUAUAUUAUAUAGAAAAUAUUUAUAUAUAUAUAUAUGGAAGAAGAAAUGUAGGGAGAAAAAGACCCUAGAAGCAGUUAAGUAGGUUCUCAACAGACAUCCUGUGAAGAUGUGGAUUGUGUAGGAGAAAACCUAUGUCAUGGGAGUCAGCAGGCCAAGAGAUUUGUAUGUUAAAAGAAUUGUUCUUGUAGAGUAAGUGGAGGAGGGAGGGAAGUUGCUAGCUUACACACAAGUAUGCAGCAAGUGGAAAGAUCCAAGAGUUGAGUGGUGAGUUGUUUGAAGAUGUCAGAAAUUCAUGCAGACAUGUUAACAAGCUGUAUUUGAUGAUUUGAUCCACUGGACUAUGUUUUUCCUCUGAAUUUUAAACCAGGCUAAAUCAAGGCGGCCUCAUAAUAUGAGGUAAAUUUGUCAAAAGUAAAAGCUUUCCAAAUAAAUUUCAAUUCACUAAAAUUAUGUUUCUCUACAAUGGCCAACCCUACACACUCUUUUGUGUGUACUGUUUCAUUUCCACCUUGUAAAAGGACUUUUUCCUUUUAAAAAGAACACAUACACCCACACCUACACCCUCCCCCGCCCCCUGAAUCCCUCCACCACACAUUUGACUUCCUGCCCUUCAUCUCUUCUUUCUUUAAUUGAUUCUGCAAAUCAGGGUCAAAUGGAUUAAUAAAUAUUUUUCUCAUGUUGCUUUACUAUUCAAGGACUGACAUUGGCUUCCCAUUAAUUCUCAGAUCUAUUCUGCUUGGUUUUAGUAGUUUUCUUUAGAAGAUGAGCCUAGCUUUUCCUGACCACCUUCCUGGGGUCCAGAGUGAAGGAUGUUUUCUCUAUGGUCAGAGCCAGAGUAGAGCCUCUAGAUAACAGAAGAUGCCUUGCGUCUGAGUGGAGAGAAGCUGAAACCAUGCAGAGGAGUCAGCAUCCAAGAACUGAAGGGCAGUUAAGAAAGGUCUGUAAGUGGGCGGGUGUAGAGACAGGCUUGGAAAGUUGGGCUGGGGCUGCUGAGCCAGGCCAGGAGUUCCAAACCUAAUUGCUAAUCGCAAGUCCAAUCUAAACGUCUUCACUUAUCACACAAGCAAGACCCUCCACAACCACCACAGUCUGACCCCCAGCCCCUGGCACCAUCUCCUGCCACCCUUCUCCCUCACCCCACUCCCUCCUCCAGCCUAGCUGGAGUGUGGUCACUAUGAAGUUCUCCCAAUUCUUAGAACCUGCCAGACUCUUGCAUGACUCUACGCCUUUGCAUAUGCUGUUCAUUCUGGAAUGAACUCCCCUGAAUUCUUUAUUGAACUUCAUUAAAUGCCAUCUUCUCCCUUUUUUAUUCAAUUUUUUCCUUUCUCAGCCAAGCCCUUCCCUGCUUCAGGACAAUCGUACAUGCUGUUUCCACCUAGAAUGUUCUUCCCUUCACUCUUUGUAUGGUUUGUCCUUCUCAUCCUUUGGUUGUUGGCUGAUAUAAGGACCAUAUCUGGCCAGCCCAUUUCCCUGUACAUAGCACAGACGUUAGAGCUACAGGAGCCUCCCACGUGGCUCUGCCCAAGCACCCUGCACACUUCUCUGCAAAGGUCAGUGGCAGAGGAGCGUCAAUAGGGCAAUGUGUAUCUCUCUUUCUCUCCAUUCUUGCUCCUCUCUCUUCUCUUUUUCAUUCUCUCUCCCAAAGUCUAAUCAGUUUAGCCUUAAGUGUCUCUAAACCUUAGCAGAAGGCUCAACUUUGAUUAAAACCACCCCCAAAAAAUCAUUCAACCGGUAUGGAUGAUGAGCAGCAGGUCUUGUGGUUCCCUUCCUUGAUUAAAAAAAAAUGAAUAAGGUGGUCACACAAAAAAGAGUCAAUGAAUUAGACCAUAACCAGGCUCUGGAAAUGGAAUUUGAGGCCCUGGAACCAGUGAUCUUACCUGCACAAAUUUAUGUUUACAUACAAGGUAGCUGAUUUGGAAAGGCAUCUUGGCCUGGUCCUGGCUGAGCCCCCGGCUGUGUUAGCCUGGUGCUCUUGCCAGAAGACUCCAAAUACACAAUUCCCCACCUCAGCCGCCUGCUCAUAUUUAGUGUGUCCAUUUGUCUGGUGUUGACCUGUCUCUCCCUCUGGCAGAUAAACUUUAGGAGGUCCAGGAUCACGUCUGUUUUGUUCUCCAUUGUGUCCCUAGCAUCUGGUACAAUAUUUGGCAAUAAUCAUGCUCUGCAAACAUAUGCUGAAUAAGUGAUUGAACAAGGGACUUAUUAUUUCUUCAGGAUCCAGCAAAAAUGUUAAUUCCUAGGUGGAAUCUCCCCUCAGGCACCCACAACAUUGUACAGUCUACUAUUAUACAGCAAGGAAUCAAAUAUUUUCUGAGGGUCUAUCAUAUGCACUGUGGCAGCUGUUAUUUAUAUGUUUCUCAUGUCACACUUUCAACAAUCCCAAGGAACAGGUAUAAUUUUCCAGAUUCACAGAUGAAGAAGCAAGCUGAAAAAAUCCAAGU